rnacentral:rRNA from 1 species
GACAGAGGUGCCAAGCGUUAGGCGGAAUCACUGGGCUUAAAGCGUGUGUAGGCGGGCCGUUAAGUAUCUUGUGAAAUCCCCCGGCUCAACCGGGGAAUGGCUGGAUAUACUGGCGGUCUUGAGCAGUCUAGGGGCAGAUGGAACAGACGGUGGAGCGGUGAAAUGCGUAGAUAUCGGGAGGAACACCAGUGGCGAAGGCGGUUGCCUGGAGCUUUGCUGACGCUGAGGCGCGAAAGCGUGGGGAGCGAUCCGG